UGUCAAGGGAUGGGAAUCGAACCCACGACCUUCCGCUCUCCGGGCAGAUGCCAUGACCACUAGGCUACCCUGGAC
rnacentral:tRNA from 1 species